CCUACGGGCGGCAGCAGUGGGGAAUAUUGCACAAUGGGCGAAAGCCUGAUGCAGCAACGCCGCGUGAAGGAAGAAGGGUUUCGGCUCGUAAACUUCUAUCAACAGGGACGAAAGAAAUGACGGUACCUGAAUAAGAAGCCCCGGCUAACUACGUGCCAGCAGCCGCGGGAAUGCGUAGGGGGCAAGCGUUAUCCGGAAUUACUGGGUGUAAAGGGUGAGUAGGCGGCAUGGUAAGCAAGAUGUGAAUGCUUUGGGCUUAACCCGAGGAUUGCAUUUGGAACUAUCAAGCUAGAGUACAGGAGAGGAAUGCGGAAUUCCGAGUGUAGCGGUGAAAUGCGUAGAUAUUAGGAAGAACACCAGUGGCGAAGGCGGCUCUCUGGUCUGCAACUGACGCUGAGGCUCGAAAGCGUGGGUAGCGAACAGGAUUAGAGACCCUGGUAGUC
rnacentral:rRNA from 1 species